AUUGAACGCUGGCGGCAUGCUUUACACAUGCAAGUCGAACGGUAACAGGUUAAGCCGACGAGUGGCGAACGGGUGAGUAAUGCAUCGGAACGUGCCCGGUCGUGGGGGAUAACGCAGCGAAAGCUGCGCUAAUACCGCAUACGAUCUGAGGAUGAAAGCGGGGGACCGUAAGGCCUCGCGCGAUCGGAGCGGCCGAUGUCAGAUUAGGUAGUUGGUGGGGUAAAGGCUCACCAAGCCAACGAUCUGUAGCUGGUCUGAGAGGACGACCAGCCACACUGGGACUGAGACACGGCGCAGACUCCUACGGGAGGCAGCAGUGGGGAAUUUUGGACAAUGGGCGAAAGCCUGAUCCAGCAAUGCCGCGUGCAGGAAGAAGGCCUUCGGGUUGUAAACUGCUUUUGUACGGAGCGAAAAGGUCUCCUCUAAUACAGGGGGCUCAUGACGGUACCGUAAGAAUAAGCACCGGCUAACUACGUGCCAGCCGCCGCAGUAA
rnacentral:rRNA from 1 species